rfam:Nicotiana sylvestris Nsyl_contig1139, whole genome shotgun sequence.
UAGACAUAUUAUUGUAUUCGACUGUAUUCAUGGCGUGAAACAUGGGAUUACACUGUUUUUAAACGGAAAAUGAAUCAAUUAAUAUAAUAGACUCCU